ensembl:lncRNA
GCGACCUCCAGCAGGUCUUGUGUCCUCGAGCUCGUCCCCCGGCCACGCCGCUGUGACCCCCGCUGGCCCGACCCUCUCGCGAUCACCGCCCGUCCUUGGCCACGCAGCCGCGAGUCCCUCCCGGAGCUCCGCGGACUCCGGCGCGCCCGGCCGACCCGGACCCAGGCCCUACCCGCGCGGGCCUCAGGGCCACAGGCCGCAAGCCCAUUGGUUGGCACCGCGUCCACACCCACGCCCAUGAAAUCCAGCAGCUGUUUCAAAAUUGAUACGGAGACGUGGAGGACGCACAGCAGCAGAAACAUUUUGAGAAAGAAAAGCAAAGAAGACUUCAGAUGCGGACCUGCUCACUUGCGACAGCCAAUCGAUCACACACAGGAGCUGGUGACCUCGAGGGAAAGGGACAGUGCUCAGUCAAGGGGCCCCAAGAACAGCGGGCUGUGGAUGUGGGCAGACGUGAGCCUUGGCCUGGGGCGGCUCCCGGGCAGGCACUCCCUAGCAUUCUGGAGGCUGGGGCUGUUCCCGAACCACACUCCAAGGUGAGCACACUGUGCACACACAUCAGUUCGAAGUGCAUGAUGGACUGAAAUGAAAAGCCCCUGCUCAGGCCCACAGCCCACAGCUAGAUACCUUGUGAGGCGGAAGAGGCAGACUGUAAAAUGAACAGUGCUGUUCAGUGUGGUGGUCAUUAUGUAAUAGCCACAUAUGGCUAUUUAAAUUAAAGUCAACUAAAAUGAAGUUACAAACUCCACUCCUCGCCACUUCUGUGCUCACAGGACAGACAGCUGGUGACUGCCAUUGUCUCAGAAAAGUCUCCACGGCAAGUGUCCUCUUUCUUCACUGUGACUGUCAGGCUUGAUCUGGCCAUGACCUGUUUAAUGAAUGUGCUGUUUAAUUCCAAGCUACAGUUUCAGCAGAUACAAAAAAACUGCAGCCCUCAGCAAAACAUGCAGCUAAAAAACAGAUACAGGCUGUGCUGUCUGUGGGAAGGGGAGAACACAGAACGGGAUGCUAUAAAAAACCACGAAGUUAGACCACAAAGUACAGCGCAUCUUCCCAGCCCAAGUUACCUGGCAACACCCAUUUUAAGACCGAGGGCCUUACCAAACGCUCGGAGGAGCUGACUAGUGAAGCACACCCAGGAAUCCCAGCGGUGCCUUCAGAAUGUAAGACCAAGAGCCUUACCAAACGCUCCGAGGAGCUGGCUACAGCGAAGAACACCCGGGAAGGAACACACCGGACAAGUUGGAAAAUAAAACAGACCUUUAUUAGUCUGGCCAGACGGCACUCCCAAAGCAAAAUAGCUUAGAGAGGCAACUGGCUCAGAGUCCGAGGCUGUUUUUAUAGGGGGUUGAGGGGGAAGUUAACAUACAGAAUUAAAGAAAAGGGGACAAAGGUUAGUGGUCGAGUGUCACGUAUUGAUGGUCAGCAGACAUUUACAGCUUUUUCUAAAAAUUGUGGUGCCCGGAACAUCAGUUCCGGGCAGACAAGGAGUUGAGUAGUUUACUUUGGGACUUUAGGUCUGUUACAGAUUUUUAUCUAGUGUCCCAAAACUAACAAACAUCUUUAUCCAUUAACUCACAUUUAAUCACAAUGGGGCUGGAGAAAAGGAACAAAGGUUAUGCAGUCCCACACCAUUGAUGGCUGCAUGGUCCCGACUGCAAAUAUGUGCUCUGACUCCGUAUGCGACAGACCCCUUCCCAAUCCCCUAUAAAACUGCACCUUGCCUUUGUCCUCCACUGAUGGCUUUGUUGGCCUCCGUGGGCCUGCACCCAGAGGAAUCAAGCCUGUGCCUUGUUUCCUUCCAUGAGCCUGCUUAGGUGGUCUCAGUCCUCCACCAUUUGUCCAGUAACAAAAUCCCUGAGAUAAUGGACUCGUAAAAAGGAGCAGUCUGGUCGCACA